UCCCAUUUCUGCUUGCAUUUGCCUUUCCAUAAAACUUACUCCCUCUGAUAUCCUGAAGCUUACCUGAAGUCUUCUCCUACUUCUCACUCCAUCUCCCCUCUUCAUAGCUCAGAGCUUACAGCCACUUUUUGAAUAGAAUGGUAAAGGCAGCUUCCAACUUCUGGCAGUGCAAACAGUUGGACGUAGUAAUGGUGGUAAAGGCACUUCGGAGUCUGGAGGAGGACAUCUGCUCAUGGCCUAACAUGAAGUUAUCUGAGACAUUGAGAAAACAAAAGCAAGUUGCAAGAGAAGCACUGGAUAUGGACUGAUCCAAAUAAAGGAUUCAUCUCUGAUUCCACUGUUUACCAUGGAUGGAAGUUUCAACUGGAAUUCAUUGGUUACAUCAACGUGUCAUUUAGCAUCAUGAGGAGAACCUUCUCCGAUGAAAACGUCUUUAAUGCUCCUAAAAUUACAGAGGUACCUGGGUUUGCAGCUGUAUAAACUACAUACCUCUUCUGCUUUAUGAUUUCAGAAGACAAAAGAAAAUGAGAAUGAGCAAAUAAAAUGCCAUCCCUCUUCAGACAAAAAAAAAAAAAAAAAAAGUCUAUAUUAGAGUUCACAGAUACAUCUGUUAGCUUUCAGGCAUUAUUCACAGCAACAACGUCUGCCUCUUCUGCUUUCCUCACAGCAGGAAAGUGAAAAGCUGAAAAACAACUGUUCCCUUUACCUCUCCCCAACAUCUAAUAUUUUCUUCUCCUUAGUCAAGUAUAUAGCUCUGUCUUCGCAUCUGUAUUUUCUCAGUUGUUGUAAUCCAGCAUUCUCUGGGCUGCCUUUUGCUCUCUGUUCCAAGAUAUAUUAUUACCUCCUGUAUAUUAUGCUCUCUUCCUUGUUUUGUACCCCACUACGUUUCUGGCACAUUACAUGCCCCAUGUGCUGGAUGAGAACAUUACCUGAUCCCAUGG
ensembl:lncRNA